AGUCGCCGUUUUGUUUUAUUACCUACGGGUCGUGUUCGCGUGUCCCGUCGUUCCGCGCUGUGUGUGUCAGUAUUUGUGUGUGUGUGUGUGUGUGUGCACGUAUGUGUGUGUGUGCGCGCGGCGAGCCAGCGACUAUUUCGCCCUCUGCUCCGGAGUUUGUGAUUAGUGUGAAUUCGUAUGCGUUUGUGUGAGUUUGUGCACGAGUUUUCGGGUUUUUUUUUUUUUUUGCUCGAAAAUUAAAUUUUUAUUUUUCGUCUAUCAUUUCCCGACGCAUUCGCCGAUAUUUCACGGAAAAUUUACGCAACGGUUCUUUUCAUUAUUAUUAUUAUUUUUUUUUUUUUCCGAUCGGGAGGGAUUCUAUUUAUUUUUUUUCCCCCCGAAUAUUCCGCGUACUCUGUCGUCUGUUUGUGCGGAUGUCAACAAUCGCAACGCUAUUGUCCGUUUUUCGUCUCGUCGGACAGACGGGAUCGCCGGCGGCCCAGCAGCGGAACCGCCACUCGCAGCAGUUCGACGCUACCGGAGACCGGAGACCGGAAAUGCGGGAUUUCAGCUACGUCUCCCCCGUCCUACCCACCGCCUCCUCUGCCUCCCCCCGCGAAACACGUGGUUUCUGUCCGUAAAACAACGUCGUUGUUUCAGUCGUCACGCGGAAUUCCGUCCCGGUAACAAUAAUCGGAUGCGCAGGAUGAAGACCGGAACACAUGUCCGCUGUUAUUGUGUUUCGUCCGCGCACCGUCAAACGCCGCCGACCGACUGAAGU